CAGUGGGGAAUUUUGGACAAUGGGGGCAACCCUGAUCCAGCCAUGCCGCGUGAGUGAAGAAGGCCUUCGGGUUGUAAAGCUCUUUCGGCCGGGAAGAAAUCGCAUGGGUUAAUACCCUGUGCGGAUGACGGUACCGGCAUAAGAAGCACCGGCUAACUACGUGCCAGCAGCCGCGGUAAUACGUAGGGUGCGAGCGUUAAUCGGAAUUACUGGGCGUAAAGCGUGCGCAGGCGGUUUUGUAAGACAGGCGUGAAAUCCCCGGGCUCAACCUGGGAACUGCGCUUGUGACUGCAAGGCUAGAGUAUGGCAGAGGGGGGUGGAAUUCCACGUGUAGCAGUGAAAUGCGUAGAGAUGUGGAGGAACACCAAUGGCGAAGGCAGCCCCCUGGGCCAAUACUGACGCUCAUGCACGAAAGCGUGGGUAGCAAACAGGAUUAGA
rnacentral:rRNA from 1 species